GAUGAACGCUAGCGGGAGGCUUAACACAUGCAAGUCGAGGGGCAUCACGAGGUAGCAAUACUUUGGUGGCGACCGGCGCACGGGUGAGUAACACGUAUGCAACCUUCCCUGUACAGGGGGAUAACCCGGAGAAAUUCGGACUAAUACCCCAUGAUGAUAUUAUGGGGCAUCCUUUAAUAUUUAAAGCUCUGGCGGUACAGGAUGGGCAUGCGCGACAUUAGCUAGUUGGUAAGGUAACGGCUUACCAAGGCGACGAUGUUUAGGGGACCUGAGAGGGUUGUCCCCCACACUGGUACUGAGACACGGACCAGACUCCUACGGGAGGCAGCAGUGAGGAAUAUUGGUCAAUGGGCGGAAGCCUGAACCAGCCAUCCCGCGUGCAGGAAGACGGCCCUAUGGGUUGUAAACUGCUUUUCCAGGGGGAGAAACUUUCCGAUGCAUCGGGAUUUGACGGUACCCUGGGAAUAAGCAUCGGCUAACUCCGUG
rnacentral:rRNA from 1 species